ACAGGGAUUACCUCAGUAACGGCGAGUGAAGCGGUAAAUGCUCAAAUUUGAAAGCUGCCAUCAGGCCGCGUUGUAAUUUGUAGAAGAUGCUUUGGGUGUCGGCCCAGUCUAAGUUCCUUGGAACAGGACGUCAUAGAGGGUGAGAAUCCCGUAUGUGAUUGGUGCCGUCCCCCGUGUAAAGCUCUUUCGACGAGUCGAGUUGUUUGGGAAUGCAGCUCAAAAUGGGUGGUAAAUUUCAUCUAAAGCUAAAUAUUGGCCAGAGACCGAUAGCGCACAAGUAGAGUGAUCGAAAGAUGAAAAGCACUUUGGAAAGAGAGUUAAACAGUACGUGAAAUUGUUGAAAGGGAAGCGCUUGCAAUCAGACUUGCAGACGGUUGAUCAAUCGAGGUUCUCCCCGGUGCACUCGAUCGUCUUCAGGCCAGCAUCGGUUUCAGUGGCGGGAUAAAGGCUGUGAGAAUGUGGCUCUUCGGAGUGUUAUAGCUCACGGUGCAAUGCCGCCUACUGGGACCGAGGACCGCGCUUCGGCUAGGAUGCUGGCGUAAUGGUUGUAAGCGACCCGUCUUGAAACACGGACCAAGGAGUCUAACAUCUAUGCGAGUGUUUGGGUGUUAAACCCAUACGCGUAAUGAAAGUGAACGGAGGUGAGAACCCUUUAGGGCGCAUCAUCGACCGAUCCUGAUGUCUUCGGAUGGAUUUGAGUAAGAGCAUAGCUGUUGGGACCCGAAAGAUGGUGAACUAUGCGUGAAUAGGGUGAAGCCAGAGGAAACUCUGGUGGAGGCUCGCAGCGGUUCUGACGUGCAAAUCGAUCGUCAAAUUUGCGUAUAGGGGCGAAAGACUAAUCGAACCAUUGGAACACUACUAGGUGGUUAAGAGGCAAGUGAUCUAGUCCGCCGAAUGGCGGGCAACACUCUCAAAUUGCGGGGAC
rnacentral:rRNA from 1 species